rnacentral:rRNA from 1 species
UACGUAGGGUGCGAGCGUUAAUCGGAAUUACUGGGCGUAAAGUGUGCGCAGGCGGCCGAGCAAGUCGAGUGUGAAAGCCCCGGGCUUAACUUGGGAAUUGCGCUCGAAACUACUUGGCUGGAGUGUGGCAGAGGAAGGUGGAAUUCCAGGUGUAGCGGUGAAAUGCGUAGAGAUCUGGAGGAACACCGAUGGCGAAGGCAGCCUUCUGGGCCAACACUGACGCUCAUGCACGAAAGCGUGGGGAGCAAACGGG